rnacentral:lncRNA from 10 species
CCUGAAUCUUGACCAUGUGGCUUACAUUGUCCAGUGAAAUAUAAGGAGAAGUUCAGUGUGACAGUGAGGAGUGCAGACUUUCAGAUGCAAUGAGUGUUUCUUCUCGUUGUUCUGUGCUCCUGUCCUGCACCAUAAGAGCAUGUCCCAGGUCAUCAUGUUCUUUUGACCAGGCUCCUGGAAUGAGAGACGCUUGGAGCUGACCUGAACUGGACCUCUAGAAGCAGAGAUGCUGAGAACAUCUGCAGAUACAUGAUGGAUUGAGCAGUCCCUGAGUCAUAUACUCUACCAGAGAAUGAAUGAUGUCUGGUAAAUAAGAUGAUGAAUCUGACACAUAAAAGUACUGAGGGCCCAGUCAAGGCAAUAUCACUGGCUGUGAAAUGCUGAAGAGAAUCAGUUGAAAGAGAAAGAAGGUUGGGAGGCAGACCAUGAAUGCUGUGGCCUCUGCACUCAAAGCUUCCAUGAACAGGGUUGUGUCACAGAUUGUUUGGUCCUGCUACCCACAGGUCUGGGUUCUUGUCCCACAACCAAGAAGAAUGAAGUACUCAGACACUGGAGUAUGAGGAAGGCAGAGAAAAAUGUUAUUGAGCAACAGAAAAGCUCUCAACAAUGAGAAAGGACCUGGGAGGGUAGCCCUCUGUGUGACAGGGAGCCUGAAAGCAGGUAGUUGCCUCUGUGACCGAGUCUGAAGUUUUUGUGAGCUCAGAAUGGGGGACUGCAUGCUGAUUAGUCCAAGGGUGGGCCUAGUAAAAGCACCAUUUGAUUGGCUAACAGCCAUCAAGGAAGUUUUCACUCUGGUCGUGAACUCUAUCCAGAACUGGCAGCUCAGUUUUCAGGCUCCAGGCUGUCUUUGGCUUGAAAGUCGGGUUUUACCGUCACCUGUCCCUGUCUGCCUAGGAAUUUGUCUGUCUCCUGUCACUAUCACAUGUUAAAAACAUGUUACAUGUUUUUAAUUAUUUUCUGCUAUGCAUUUACAUAUAUGUAGCGAUUUGUGUCAGUUAUUUACAAAAGUAUGAUAUGUUAGUUACUGCAUCAUGUUUUCUUUCUCAACAGUAUAUCACAGAAAGUUCUCUAAAUAAUUUAGCUAUAAAUCAUUCCUUCAAUGGCUGCAUAAUAGCCCAUUUUGUGGAAGCAAAGUAAUUUGUUCUGUACUCCAAAUUGCUUAGUAUUCACUUUACAGCAGCUGUUUCUCCCAGUAUGAAAAAGCUGCAUUAUUGUAUAUAUUUCCCCUACUGAUAGUGAUUUAUUAGUAUGGAAUAGAUUCUCAAGAAUGAGCUUACUUGGUCAAAGGAUCUUUGGAUUUUUUUUAUUUUAAUAGGUGUUUUUAGAUUACUUUUGAUAGUGCAAUAAAAAUUUAUGUUUUCUUCAGUAAUGUAUGAGGGAAUACUCUCCCCACAUUCCAACAACAAUAGAUACUAUCACACUUUAACAUUUUAGUCAGGCUGACGUGUGCAAAUGUUUCUUAUAGUUACUUAAUUUGUGUUUCCCUGAUUAAUGGGAUGCUAAAGCAUCUUGUUUUUCCCUAUGUUUUUGGCCACUUGAGUGUACACUUCUGUUUUGCCUCAUUGUGUAGUUUGCCCAUUUAUUUGUUGUGAAUUUUCUCGUUUGUUUUUGGCUCCUUCUUGGUCAAUUUGAUUGACGAGAAAAUUAUAUUACAU